AGAUUUUGAGGGAACAACUAACCUUCAACCUUCACAAACGGUAACAUCUGGAAAUACUGUAAACAUGCAAGGUGCUCAUAUGGCAAGAUCUGUCCCUCGGGCAAUGGGAGUUGGCAUGCCUAGGAUGCCGCAUCAGAGCAUGGCUGCCUACAACCUUGCAUCUCAGGCUGGGAUGGGUAUGAAUCCUGGUGGCAUCCCUAUGCAGCGAGGUGUCUCUUCCCAAGCUCAUCAGCAACAACAGUUAAGGAGAAAAGAUCCUGGAAUGGGAAUGUCUGGUUAUCCUCCCCAGCAGAAACAACAAAGACGGUACUGAGUGGUUGCAGGAAGGUCUGAAAUUACUUUGUCGGCUUUGCCCAAAAUUUUUCCAUACGCAUCUACAAGCUGAGGUGGCGUUUGCUUGUUGAUUUAUCUGCAACCCGAGGUUCAUCAACUCACCCGAAUAAUUUAAGAUCCAAG
rnacentral:misc_RNA from 1 species